rnacentral:tRNA from 1 species
GAUCUGGUACCCAAGUGGUCUAAGGGAACAGUCUGCAAAACUGUCAUUUCGUGGGUUCAAAUCCCAUCCAGAUCU